CCCUAGUUCUGACCGUAAACGAUGCCAUCUCGCGAUUCGGAGGGUUCAUGCCCUACCGAGGAGCUACCCGGAAACGAAAGUCUUUCGGUUCCGGGGGUAGUAUGGUUGCAAAGCUGAAACUUAAAGAAAUUGACGGAAGGGCACCACAAGGCGUGGAGCUUGCGGCUUAAUUUGACUCAACACGGGAAAACUCACCCGGUCCGGACACUAUUAGGACUGACAGAUUGAAAGCUCUUUCUCGAUUUGGUGGUUGGUGGUGCAUGGCCGUUCUUAGUUGGUGGAGUGAUUUGUCUGGUUUAUUCCGAUAACGAGCGAGACUCUAGCCUGCUAAAUAGUCGACGAAUCUUCGGGUUCGUAUAACUUCUUAGAGGGAUAAGCGGUGUUUAGCCGCACGAGAUUGAGCGAUAACAGGUCUGUGAUGCCCUUAGAUGUCCGGGGCUGCACGCGUGCUACACUGGUGGAGUCAGCGGGUUUUUCCUAUGCCGAAAGGUAUCGGUAAACCGUUGAACUUCUUCCAUGUCCGGGAUAGGGUAUUGUAAUUAUUACCCUUAAACGAGGAAUGCCUAGUAAGUGUGAGUCAUCAGCUCACGUUGAUUACGUCCCUGCCCUUUGUACACACCGCCCGUCGCUAUCCGGGACUGAACUGACCGAAAGGUAUCGGUAAACCGUUGAACUUCUUCCAUGUCCGGGAUAGGGUAUUGUAAUUAUUACCCUUAAACGAGGAAUGCCUAGUAAGUGUGAGUCAUCAGCUCACGUUGAUUACGUCCCUGCCCUUUGUACACACCGCCCGUCGCUAUCCGGGACUGAACUGAUUCGAGAAGAGUGGGGACUGUGGCUGCGAGGUUUUACCACUUCGCAGUUGCGGAAACCAUUUUUAUCGCAUUGGUUUGAACCGGGUAAAAGUCGUAACAAGGUAGCUGUAGGUGAACCUGCAGCUGGAUCAUCG
rnacentral:ncRNA from 1 species